rnacentral:rRNA from 1 species
CGGGGUGAGUAAUGUAUGGGGAUCUGCCUGAUGGCGGGGGAUAACUACUGGAAACGGUAGCUAAUACCGCAUAAUGUCUGCGGACCAAAGCGGGGGACCUCCGGGCCUCGCGCCAUCAGAUGAACCCAUAUGGGAUUAGCUAGUAGGUAAGGUAACGGCUUACCUAGGCGACGAUCCCUAGCUGGUCUGAGAGGAUGAUCAGCCACACUGGAACUGAGACACGGCCCAG